CUUUAAGUCAUGAACUCUAGGCCAUCCUAGUUGCAUUUUCCUCCUUUAAUAACAAAUGAGUCCUGUAUCUGAAGAACAGAAACUUAACAGUUGUAUUCCGGAAGCUUGCUUAACUAUUUUAAUAAUAAUUCUCCUUCACUAGACUGUUAAAAUCUCCUACUUUGAUCAUUUAAAACUUCCAGGCCGGGCAUGGUGGUUCACGCCUGUAAUCCCAGCAGUUUGAGAGGCUGAGGCAGGAGUAUCAUUAUAUAUAAUAUAUAUGCCUCUCCUCGAUCCCGGGAGGCAGAGGCUGUAGUGAGCCGAAAUCACACCACUGGACUCCAGCCUGGGUGACAGAAUGAGACACCGUCUCAAAAAGAAAAAAAAAAACUUCAAAUAAGCUGAUACGGUGGCUCACACCUGUAAUCCCAGUGCUUUGAGAGGCUAGGAUGGGAGGAUCACUCAAGCCCAGGAGUUUGAGGCUGCAAAGAGCUGUGAUCAUGCCACUGCAUUCCAGCCUGGGCGAUAGAGUAAGACCCAGUCUCUACUUUAAAAAAAGCAAAUAUUUCUAAAUGGCAUAAACUAACUUUGUUUUUCUUUUCUGGCAGUUGAGAGCGUGGAGUUAAGAGGAGAAUCAGCUUUCAGUGGCAUUCCUAAUGGGCAGUGGAUGACCCAGUCAUUUACAG
rnacentral:lncRNA from 10 species